CAAAUCAGACACCAGUGAAUGACUGCCUUCUCUUACAAGACAAUUAUUCAAAAGCAUAAAAAAGGAAAGUGAUGUCUUUCUGUUGAUAACAACAAUAAAUAUAAUUAUGAGGUUUGAUGAACAAUUUUUUUUUUUAAUGUACAGGAAAGUAAUUGAGCAAUUUCUUAUAAUAUGACAAAAAUUUGACAUGCUGACUGAAGUCCCUCUUCUGGUUCUCUGUAUUUAUGUGCUGGUAAUUUUAACUUUUCAGAACUGCUUAAACCAUCAAUGUUUCCCUACUCAGGAUUUUCAAGUGAAAACUCAUUUUGGGCAAUGUAACAACACUAACCUACAGUUUCAUUUGACACUGGCAAAGCUUCUUACAAGAAAAGAUCGUUAUAAAAGUGAAACAAGCAAUGUACACCAAAAAAUUAUUAAAGAAAAAAAUAAAUCAAAUUAAAUAAAAAACUGAUAUUAAUAAAAAAAAAAUAAUAAUAAUAAUGAUUUUUUGCAACCCCGGGAUUGGUCAAUGACAUAUACUAAUUGGUAAAGGGGGACAUGCUUGAGGGGAAGCCCUUAAUCCUUACUACUCCUAUGACAGGCUGUGUACAGUUUUCAGUUAAAUUUCCCUUCGACAAAGUUCUGGACAACAGAUGAAUACAAAAUAGUAGACACUUUCCAAAUUCAUCUUAUUCUCUCUUUACACCCAACUAGUGUGGCCGGUCAUCAUGUCUCCCCUAGUAGAGGUCUUCACUUCUACUCCUCCACCAAGUUCGCUGUCACAGCACUCACUGAGGGACUGCGGCAGGAGCUGAGGGAAGUUAACUCCAACAUCAGGAUAUCCGCCAUCAGUCCAGGUUGGGUGGUGACAGAGUUUGUUGUGAAUUGUCACUUGGCACAAAAUGCAAGUGCUGCUAAGAAGUUCUACAAUGAUCAGAAGAGCUUGGAAGCUGAUGACAUCGCUGCCACUUUAGUCCACGUUCUCUCUGUCCCUCCCCAUGUUCAGAUCCAUGAUGUGCUGAUUCGAAAUGCAGGACAAAUCUCAUGAAUGCUGCUCUCUCUCUCUCUCUCUCUCUCUCUCUCUCUCUCUCUCUGUUAGCUUUGAAUUUAUAGAAUUUGGUACUGAAUUACUGCACAGAUGUUAAAUUUUUACGCUUAAUGGUUAUCAAACAAAUUAAUCAACUUUAUCCAGCAUUAAUCUUGAUGAAGAAACGGCAUACCAAUUGUGUGACUAAAUAACGGAGAGUGUCCUUAACUUGCAAUUGUUUAAUCAAAUAAAGGUAGUUUUCCUUCA